rnacentral:rRNA from 1 species
UGCGUAGGCGGUUUACUAAGUCAGAUGUGAAAGCCCCGGGCUUAACCUGGGAACUGCAUUUGAGACUGGAAGACUCGAGUUGAGUAGAGGGGAGUGGAAUUUCAGGUGUAGCGGUGAAAUGCGUAGAGAUCUGAAGGAACACCAGUGGCGAAGGCGACUCCCUGGACUCAAACUGACGCUGAGGUACGAAAGCGUGGGUAGCAAACA